GCAUUUCUGCCCUGCUCUCCUAAUACUUGAUACGACUGCUGCUGCCGUCUGAAACUUGAAACUGAAGAAGUGAACUAUCACAAGUAGAAAAUACAAGAAACACUUGCCAAUGAUAAAACGGCUUUUCACCAACUAAUACUCGAGACAGCAAGGCAAUGGCAAAAAAAAGUAAAUAAAAAAUCUGCUUUCUGUAAGUACUGAAAAGCUAAAGUAAAACACUUUUGAGCGUUUGAGCACAUUUGACUAAAGGUACAUGAACCAGUACUGCAAUUAUUCAGGAAUCAACUCUGUUUUUUUUUAUCUUUUUAGCUACUGCAUAUAGGAGUUGAAAGCGAACAGUCAAUAUGAGUUUGAAGUGAAGACUUUUUGUUUUUAAUUUGAAAGUAUUUAUGCCCAGACUAGGUGAAUAUUGUAGGACUGUGGUGGUUUUCCACUUUUAGGGCCCAAAAAGUAAUUGGACAGUUCCCUGCUGCACUGUUGGCUUGGAGUCUGUUGUGUGGUAUUUUCUCAUUUCAUGUACUAUUAAACAGAUAAAAGGCAGAGAAUUGAUUUCAAAUGUUCAUCUGGAAUCUGACUCUGUUAAAUGCCAAUUUGUAGCUUUCAUUCCCAGGGAAGCAAGCAAUCAUUUUCCUGAACAACAAUCCAUAACCAGCCCAUUAGACAGCAACAUGAUGCGUGACCCAUUUUGUGCAUUCUUAAAAAGAAGGAAUGCAAAGAUGAGGACCUCUAUAGAGGCCCAGAGGACCACAAAUAACCCCUUUUUUUGCCAGAUCAAGAACACCCUGCAGGAGGUAAGCAUUAACCACUGAAGAACAUUUUGUAGAAAUUAACGUAUUUCCAGUUUUGGAUUGUAUAGGGAUGGGAAUUGUUGAGAUUGAAUUGAUAUCGAUGUAAUAAUCGAUUACGCUUACAGUAUUUUAAUUUUAUUUAUUUAUUUUUGGAGUAUAAGAUGCAGGUUUUUCUUUUUUGUAGUUUGGAGGUCCUGUGACUUAUACGCUGGUCUGACUUAUAUACUGAAAAAUCAUUUCUUGAUAACAAUUUAUACAGUGCUUUUCCAGAGGUCAACGCACCAAACAAAAGAAACUCUAAUAAUAAAAGUAUACUAUAAUAAUGCAAAAAAUCCCAAUUUAAAGAACUGAUUAAAAACAUGUGGACUCACAUUUUUAUUGUAUUUUUCCCAACUCUGUGGGUCCGCAGUCCAUGUUCAUCUGCAUCAGAUAACAGCCAAUAUGUUUCCCAUUGCAUGUUUAUUUGUCCAUCUUGCUUAUUUUUGGAAUUUGAGUCCUUAUAUGAAGUAACAGCACACUCUGUGGUGUGCACAUGUGCUACACUGAGCUCCUGUCCGUUUUUCGACUUGUCCCCAAAAAAAACAGGUGUGAUUUAUAUUCCAGUGCAACGUAUACACCAGAAAAUAUGGUUUCUGUCCAAUUCUCAUAGAUUCCUGACCAGUUUUAUAUGUAUUGAAAAAUGUAGGCCUACACAGAUUUUCAGCAUCAGUGUAGCUGUUUUAGUAGCUGCUUGACACACAGUUUUACAUCAUGACGUGUGAGUUUGAAUUGUAAACUUGUCAGAAAGACACACCUGCAUUGAUAAGAGGAAUUGAUAGCAUCUGCAUACAAUUCCCAUUGAUUGAAAAAUUUGGAAGAGGUUCUCAAAUGGAAUCGGUUCUCUCUUUCCCAUCCCUAUGAUAGAUAGAUAUUAUGUUGCGCUUGAUUGAGGCCGACUGCAAUUACUUAAAGAUAGCCCAACGUUAGUCAGACAUGCUGUGUCAAUGUAGCAAUGUCUGCAAAAAUAGUAGUGUCCCCCAGAAUCGGUCAUUAAAAAAAAUCACUUAAUAUCUGAUCCAAAAUUACAAGAAAAGACAAACACCUAGCCAUGAAACAUGCUCACAUCUGUCCAUCUAGUCAUUUAUUUUACACUGUGUAUCUAAGGGUGGGUUGUACUGUCAUGUAGCCCAAAUGUCCCCUUUUUCCAUCCACAUCCUGCAAGUCAUCAUCAACCCCAAUGCAUUUGCAGGAGAGUUUGGCUGUAUUACCCCUCCAGUGUAUUCUGGGUCUACCAUUGGGCCUCUUUCCAGUUGGAUGCAACUGAAAAUCCCCCAAAAGAAGGCAUCCUUGCUCAAAUGGUCAGAUUCCACAAUCACCUGAGUUGGCUGUUGUUGGCGAGACUGAGCAUUAACGUCACCCUGAGCUCCUUCUGGAUGUCCUGACUCCUCACCUUGGCUAUAAGGGCAAUUCCCAAAGUCCUGCAAAGAAGUCUCAUUAUUACAGCUGCUUGUUUUCUUUCAUUCACUCCUCAAAGUGACCACAAGUGCCUGUUGUACAGCUUGACUGGUUGAGAGUAGAGCCCAUGUCAAACACAAUUUAUACAGAAAUACAGGUGUCUGGGACAUGUUCUGCCAUCUAGAGUUAGUUAUUUUCUUCAAGCAACCAACCAACAUGUGAUACAUUGCUUUCACUCGGAUUGGCAGUCGCUAUGUGGCAUCACUCAGCAUUUGCAUUGGGGAAAAAAAAACUCAUCUAUUCUCAUUAAUUUUGCCCCCGCUAAGCUGGUGGCAUAAAGACCACCUGUCUCUUGUCGCCAGAAUGCCUGCUGGUCACUUUGACUUUGUUGUACCUAAUGCGACCAAGUGGUUAUGGGAGUCCCAGCCUUGCUUGACAGCAUUGUCAACAAAGCUGUCAGAGCACCCUCUGCUGGACAAACUACAUAAUGACACUAUUUCCAACAACCUAAGUGUUUUUCAGCAAGUCUUGCAUCAUUCACCCAGAUUGGAUGUAAAUAACUCUAAAAUUAAAUGGAACAUCUGUAGUUCAGGCUUGAUAGUUUGUCAUAGUUUGCUUUCAACUUCAAUAUGCUAAAGCUGACUGCUAACUUAGUUACUUUAACAGUGUUGAACUAUUUAAGGAUGUGACUACCAAGAAUUGAUUUUUGGUCUAGUGCUUUCAGAUGCAUGUUUUAACAUUUU